GGAUUAGAUACCCUGGUAGUCCACACCGCAAACGCUGCGUACUAGAUGUCGCGGGAAUUGACCCCUGCGGUAUCGUAGCUAACGCGUUAAGUACGCCGCCUGGGGAGUACGGCCGCAAGGCUAAAACUCAAAGGAAUUGACGGGGGCCCGCACAAGCGGUGGAGCAUGUGGUUUAAUUCGACGCAACGCGCAGAACCUUACCCAGGCUAGAAAAACGGAGAACUUGGCAGAGACGCCUUGGUGCCCGCAAGGGAACUCCGGUCCAGGUGCUGCAUGGCUGUCGUCAGCUCGUGUCG
rnacentral:rRNA from 1 species